CCUACGGGUGGCUGCAGUGAGGAAUAUUGGUCAAUGGGCGCGAGUCUGAACCAGCCAAGUAGCGUGAAGGAUGACUGCCCUACGGGUUGUAAACUUCUUUUAUAAAGGAAUAAAGUGAGUCACGUGUGCCUUUUUGUAGGUACUUUAUGAAUAAGGAUCGGCUAAUUCCGUGCCAGCAGCCGCGGUAAUACGGAGGAUCCGAGCGUUAUCCGGAUUUAUUGGGUUUAAAGGGAGCGUAGGUGGGUUGUUAAGUCAGUUGUGAAAGUGUGCGGCUCAACCGUAAAAUUGCAAGUGAUACUGGCAGUCUUGAGUACAGUUGAGGUAGGCGGAAUUCGUGGUGUAGCGGUGAAAUGCUUAGAUAUCACGAAGAACUCCGAUUGCGAAGGCAGCUUACUGUAGUGCCACUGACAUUGAUGCUCGAAAGUGUGGGUAUCAAACAGGAUUAGAUACCCUUGUAGUC
rnacentral:rRNA from 1 species